rnacentral:SRP_RNA from 1 species
GCCAGGCAUGGUGGCUCAUGCCUGUAAUCCCAGCACUGUUGGAGGCUGAGGCGGGAGGAUUGCUUGAGCCCAGGAGUUUGAGGCCAGCCUGGGCAAUAUAGUGAGACUCUGUCUCUA